UACAGAGGGGGCAAGCGUUGUUCGGAAUUACUGGGCGUAAAGGGCGCGUAGGCGGCCGACUCAGUCGCACGUGAAAUCCCCGGGCUCAACCCGGGAACUGCGUUCGAUACUGGUCGGCUUGAAUUCGGGAGAGGGAUGCGGAAUUCCAGGUGUAGCGGUGAAAUGCGUAGAUAUCUGGAGGAACACCGGUGGCGAAGGCGGCAUCCUGGACCGGCAUUGACGCUGAGGCGCGAAAGCCAGGGGAGCAAACGGG
rnacentral:rRNA from 1 species